rnacentral:pre_miRNA from 15 species
AUGGACACUCGUUCGCUCAGCUUUCGACAUGAUUCUGAACAAUCCGCAAGCCCAUGUUGUUGAGAUCAUUAGUUGAAAGCCGAAUGAUCAGAGAUAUCCA